UGCUAUACUGCAGUCGACGCUUCUUUCCUCCCGAGUGCUUGCACUCAAUUGGAAAGAGGAGUGGCGGACGGGUGAGUAACACGUGGGUAACCUACCCAUCAGAGGGGGAUAACACUUGGAAACAGGUGCUAAUACCGCAUAACAGUUUAUGCCGCAUGGCAUAAGAGUGAAAGGCGCUUUCGGGUGUCGCUGAUGGAUGGACCCGCGGUGCAUUAGCUAGUUGGUGAGGUAACGGCUCACCAAGGCCACGAUGCAUAGCCGACCUGAGAGGGUGAUCGGCCACACUGGGACUGAGACACGGCCCAGACUCCUACGGGAGGCAGCAGUAGGGAAUCUUCGGCAAUGGACGAAAGUCUGACCGAGCAACGCCGCGUGAGUGAAGAAGGUUUUCGGAUCGUAAAACUCUGUUGUUAGAGAAGAACAAGGACGUUAGUAACUGAACGUCCCCUGACGGUAUCUAACCAGAAAGCCACGGCUAACUACGUGCCAGCAGCCGCGGUAAUACGUAGGUGGCAAGCGUUGUCCGGAUUUAUUGGGCGUAAAGCGAGCGCAGGCGGUUUCUUAAGUCUGAUGUGAAAGCCCCCGGCUCAACCGGGGAGGGUCAUUGGAAACUGGGAGACUUGAGUGCAGAAGAGGAGAGUGGAAUUCCAUGUGUAGCGGUGAAAUGCGUAGAUAUAUGGAGGAACACCAGUGGCGAAGGCGGCUCUCUGGUCUGUAACUGACGCUGAGGCUCGAAAGCGUGGGGAGCAAACAGGAUUAGAUACCCUGGUAGUCCACGCCGUAAACGAUGAGUGCUAAGUGUUGGAGGGUUUCCGCCCUUCAGUGCUGCAGCAAACGCAUUAAGCACUCCGCCUGGGGAGUACGACCGCAAGGUUGAAACUCAAAGGAAUUGACGGGGGCCCGCACAAGCGGUGGAGCAUG
rnacentral:rRNA from 1 species